rnacentral:rRNA from 1 species
GACGAACGCUGGCGGCGUGCUUAACACAUGCAAGUCGAACGGAAAGGCCCUGCUUUUGUGGGGUGCUCGAGUGGCGAACGGGUGAGUAACACGUGAGUAACCUGCCCUUGACUUUGGGAUAACUUCAGGAAACUGGGGCUAAUACCGGAUAGGAGCUCCUGCUGCAUGGUGGGGGUCGGAAAGUUUCGGCGGUUGGGGAUGGACUCGCGGCUUAUCAGCUUGUUGGUGGGGUAGUGGCUUACCAAGGCUUUGACGGGUAGCCGGCCUGAGAGGGUGACCGGCCACAUUGGGACUGAGAUACGGCCCAGACUCCUACGGGAGGCAGCAGUGGGGAAUAUUGCACAAUGGGCGGAAGCCUGAUGCAGCAACGCCCCGUGCGGGAUGACGGCCUUCGGGUUGUAAACCGCUUUCGCCUGUGACGAAGCGUGAGUGACGGUAAUGGGUAAAGAAGCACCGGCUAACUACGUG